rnacentral:tRNA from 1 species
UUGCAGUAGGUAGCUCGUCGGGCUCAUAACCCGAAGGUCGCUGGUUCGAGUCCAGC